AGCGAACGCUGGCGGCAGGCCUAACACAUGCAAGUCGAACGAACUCUUCGGAGUUAGUGGCGGACGGGUGAGUAACACGUGGGAACGUGCCUUUAGGUUCGGAAUAACUCAGGGAAACUUGUGCUAAUACCGAAUGUGCCCUUCGGGGGAAAGAUUUAUCGCCUUUAGAGCGGCCCGCGUCUGAUUAGCUUGUUGGUGGGGUAAUGGCCACCAAGGCGACGAUCAGUAGCUGGUCUGAGAGGAUGACCAGCCACAUUGGGACUGAGACACGGCCCAAACUCCUACGGGAGGCAGCAGUGGGGAAUCUUGCGCAAUGGGCGAAAGCCUGACGCAGCCAUGCCGCGUGGAUGAUGAAGGUCUUAGGAUUGUAAAAUCCUUUCACUGGUGAAGAUAAUGACUGUAGCCGGAGAAGAAGCCCCGGCUAACUUCGUGCCAGCCGCCCGCAGUAA
rnacentral:rRNA from 1 species